rnacentral:lncRNA from 1 species
AGGGGAAAUGUUCUGUAUACAGCUGUAGAUUUGGUGUGUCCCUGGCAGGAGGUGUGCUCAGGAUCCUUUUAUGUCACCGUCUUAAACUGGACCCUGUCUCUUUUUGCACAUGUGCUCCUUGGUGCAGAAGGCCCUGUUUGAGGAGGAGGACCACAUCCAGAAGUUGCAGCAGAAGGUGGCCACCCUGGAGAAGGGGAACAAGCAGGUGUGAGAUCCAGUGAAGAAGGUCAAGGAGGUCCCAAGUGCACAAGAACGGCUGCCACCUGGAGCUGCUAAACUGAAAGAGAAGCUGCCAGAUACAUCAAAAAAUACAUCUAGAUGUGGAACAAUUCUCACGGAACACCUACUGCGCGCUGGCAGGUAAAAGGACCAAAGUUGUAGGACAGAGCUCCAUGUACCCAGGUAAGUAUGAAAGAAUAAAAGAAAAGGAAUUGGGACAGAAUCGGCACCCCUGGGAGGGAGUCGUGAAAGAGAAGGGUUACUUGACCCUGGGAACCCCCUUCACCAGCUGUAAAGUCAACUAGGGCAGAAAGGAAGCUUCAAAGGCUCUGAAGAGACGGCAGCAACAGAACUGUGGCAGGCAACACGAGAGCUUAGCACGGAUGGUUUAGGCCACCUCCUUGCACUCCCCGGCCUGAGAUGUGUGUCUGCUGGUGCAUGCAGGGGGCUGGAUGCUGAAACUUGGGCUUCAGUGGACAGACCUGAGGAGAGGGCUGGGUACCGCUGCACAGAGACCUCCGGAAGGGGCUGGACUAUAACCUGAGCUACACCCAAGGGUGUGCACAGGGCAGAGCCUGGGUCUGCCAUAGAAACCCCAUGGUUAAGGCACGUAUGAAGGAAGGGCAGGGCACCACCAAGGCAGCCUCAUUCUCAGCAUGUUCGGCUCUGCCUCUACCAGCCCUGGGAGCCAGUGCACAAAUGCCAGCAGGUUGUACACAGGCAGAUGCAGGGCUGAAAUCUGAGCAGUGUUCCAGUGGCUAUGCCAUCUGAAUUUACACCACCCCUGGCAGCUUCGUAAGCUCAGCACCUACAGGACUUCUGAGCAGAUUAUAUGUUCCUGUGACUGGGGUGAGUCCAGCAUUAAUUAGCAGGUGCAAGCUUUGCCAGUGCACAGAGGUGAGGCCAGGGUCUGGGCUGAUUCUGAAGCUUCCACGGUGGGUUCAAGUACCUGAAUGCACCAGAUCUAUGCCAAUAGAUCUGCACUGGUGGCUUGAUGAACACAGCACUUGAGGGCCACCCAGGCCAAUUGCCUGCAUGCCUGCACAUGAGGGAGGUCCAUGGGCAUUGCCAACAGUGUACUUUGAGUUUGCACAACAGGUGACAUGUGAUACCACUGAGUGUACCUCUUUGUGGACAGCUCCUGAGGAGGAAUACUCAAGUUUUGCUCUUCUCCCAGAAGUGCUCCAGUCCCACCUACCUCACACCACAGCUCAGAAAUGGCUUCUCCUCCAAUAACUGGGGAACAAACAGACUCUGACAACCACAGAGCAAAGAGGCCCUGCACAACAUCCAGAGCAGGCUCUGGUUACCACAACACCAGUCACACACUAUCAAGGGGAUAACAGCCAGCACAGACUGAGGAAAGAUGUGGGAUGCAUCCAUACUAAAAACAGGCAUCACACCAAAAAUAUUAGACUCGUGUAGGCUAUACAGGGAUGCUCCCAUAUAUAAACAUCCCUCCAAGACCACAAAAUAGCUCUUUGUCCUAAACUCAUAGAGUCAGAGAAAUAGAAGUAAAAAGCAGAAGAACCACUCCCAAUGAAAAGAUCAAGAGAAAACCCCUGAAAGAACAAACAGUGAAAAAGACCUCUCCAGUCUACAAGACCCUGAGUUCAGAAAGGCGGUAAUAAAAGUACUAAAUGGAUUAGGAAAGACUGUUGAUAGAAAUACAGGUUAUUGAAAAAAGGAACCAGAAACUGUAAGGAGGAGCCAACUAGAAAACUCAUUUGCUGAAAUAGAAGCUGAGCUAAGUGCAAUGCAUAGCAAACUGAAUAAUGCAGAAGCACAAAUAAGUGAUCUGGAAUUUUGAAUAAUGAAAAUCACCCAAUUGGAACAGUAGAAAAACAAAACAAAACAAAAAAAGAGCAAUAUACCAGACCUAUGGAAUAAUAUAGAAUGUACCAAUCUAUGCAUAAUCGGGAUCCCAGAGGAGAGGAAAGAAAAAAAGAGGAUUGAAAAUAUAUUUGAAGAAAUUAGGGCUUAAAAUUUCCCAACCUAAUAAAGGAAACAUACCCAGGUACAGGAACCAUAGAGAUUCCUAAGCACUACGAACUCAGACAGACAUAACUAAAAUAGCAGCAGUUACAGGCAACAAGAGAAAAAGUUAAUUUCAAGGGAACCCCUCUAAGGCUAUAAGCUGAUUUCUCUACAGGAACAUUGCAGGCCAGAAAGGACAUGCAAGGUAUGUUCAAAGUUCUGAAAGGGAAAAACCUGCUACUGAAGAUACCCUACCUAGCAAGAGAAUCAUUUAGAAUAGAAGGAGAGAGAAAGAAUUUCUCAUGAAAGAACAAAACCAAUACAGCAAUACCAAACCUAUCCCAAAGGAAAUAUUGCAAGUUCUCUAAAUAGAAAACAAGCUAGACAAUAGAGGAAGGAGAAACUCACAGUUGGGAAGUAAACCACUUAAAUAAGCCAGAGGUAAAAAAAUUUUGUGUGUGAAAGUGAUAACUACAAUGAACAAAAAAAUUAAAAUGGGGAGGGGAGUAAGAGAAUGUAGAUUUUUUUUUUAGAAUGUACUUGAGCCUGUAUAACUACCAGUCUAAAGCAAGUAGAUAUAAAAUGGGUUAAUAUACUUAAAAAACAUGGUAACCACACAUCAAAAACAUGCAAUAGAUUCAUGAAAACUAAGAGAAUAUAAGCAUAAUAUGAAAGAAAACCAUCAAACCACAAAAGGAAACAGAACUAAGGAGAAAUACAAAAUCAACUGGAAAACAAGGUUUACAAUGGCAGUGAUUACAUAUAUCAAUAAUCAUGAUAGAUGUCCAUACACUAAAUGCUCCAAUCAAAAGACACCCAGUGCCAGACUGGAUAAUAAAACACAAGCCCACAAGAUGCUGCCUACAAGAGAACCACUUUAGGGCAAAGGACAUACAUAGACUGAAAGUGAAGGAGAUAGAAAAAGAUUUCAUGCAAACAAAUGAUGAAGCGGGGGAUGCAAAACAGACUUUUAAACAAAGGCCCAUGGAAUAUGUAUGCUGUGGUACACGGAAAAACUGGCCAACAGGAGCUUGUUCUACCAGCACAGGGAGCUCUAUCCAAUAUUCUGUGAUGAUCUACAUAAGAAAGAGUGAAAAAGAAUGGGUGUGUGUAUAUGAAUAAAUUAAUCAUUUUGUUGUGCAGCAGAAAUUAUAACAUUGUAAAUCAUGAAGAAAGAUAAAGGACACUAUAUAAUAAAGUGAACAAUACAAGACAAGGAUAUUACAUGCAUUUAUAUAUGUACCCAAUAUAAGAGCACCUAAAUAUAUAAAAUUAACAAAAGGAAUGAAUUGAUGGCAAUACAAUAAUAAGCUUUAAAACCCCACUCACGUCAAUGGACAAAUCUUCUAGAGAGAAAAUCAGUAAGACAACAAAGAUCCUAAAUGAUACAUUAGAUGAGUUACCUAAUUGAUAGUUUCAGGACAUUGUAUCAGAAAAAAUUAACUGGAAUACACAUUCUUUUCAAGCGCACAUGAAACAUUCUCUAGGACUGACCACAUACUAAGACACAAAACUGACCUCAGCAAGUUUAAGAGGAAAGAAAUUACUUCAGGCAUCUUUUCUGACCACAACAGUAUGGAAUUAUAAAUUAACCACAAGAAAAAAGAAAAAAAUUGCAUGGAGAUUUAAACAAUAUGCUACUGAAAGUAAAUAGGUCAAUGACGAAAUCAAACAGUAAAUUUUAAAAAUGCCUUGGGACAAGUGACAAUGAAAAUAUAACCAUACAAACUCUGUGGGAUGCAGAAAAAGCAGUCCUUAGAGGGAAGUUCCUAGUGAUACAGGCCUUCUUUAAAAAGUAAAAAUCACAAACAACCUAACUCACCAUCUAAUAGAAUUAGGAAAAGAAAAACAAUACCUGAAGUCAGCAGAAGGAAGGAAAGCAUGAAGAUGAGAGAGGAAAUAAAGAUUUUUAAAACUUGGGAAAAAAGCAAUAAAACCAAAAGCUUAUGGGCGUUCCCGUUGUGGUGCAGUGGAAAUGAAUCUGACUAGUAUUCUUGAGGAUAUGGGUUCAAUUCCUCCCUCACUCAGUGGGUCAGGAAUCUGGUAUUGCCUUGAGCUACAGGGCAUGGAUUAUAUGUUGCUGUGGCUGUGGUGUAGGCCAGGAGCAAUCCAAACCCUAGCCUGGGAACUUCCAUAUGCUGUGGGUGUGGCCCUAAAAAGAAAAAGGAAAAAAAAAUUAGUUAAUCUGAACAAAUCUACCACUAGAAGUGAAAUAGAAUCUAAUUUUAAACUCCCUGCAAACAAAAGUCCAGGACCAGAAAGCUUCUUUGGGGAAUUCUACCGUGUAUACAAAGAACUUCUUCUAUUGAUCCUUUUCAAACUCUUCCAAAAACUGAAGAAAAAGGAAUACUCCCAAAGUCAUUCUAUGAAGCCACCAUCACCCUGAUACCAAAACCAAAGACACUGCCAAAAAAGAAAAUUAUAGGCUAAUAUCUGAUGAAUAUAGAUACAAGAAAAUCUUAACAAAAUAUUAGCCAACUGCAUCCACCAACAUAUACAAAAGGUUAUACGAAGACUAAGUUGGAUUCAUCCCAGGGUCACAAAGAUAGUUCAACAAAUGCAAAUCAAUCAGUAUGCUACACCGCAUCAACAAAUGAAAAGACAAAAAAACAAAUAAUCAUCUCAAUAGAUGCAGAAAAAGCCUAUGAUAAAAUUCAACAUCCAUUCAUGAUAAAACCUCUUACCAAAGUGGACAUAGAACAUUUCAACAUAAUAAAAACUAUUUAUGGAGCUCCUGUCAUGGCUCUCAGAAAAAUACCAAAAAGGGAAAGUACAAAAUAGUAUCUUUAAAAUUUGCAUUAGGAGUUCCCAUCGUGGCUCAGUGGUUAACGAAUCUGACUAGGAACCAUGAGGUUGCAGGUUCGAUCCCUGGCCUUGCUUAGUGGGUUAAGGAUCCGGUGUUGCCAUGAGCUGUGGUGUAGAUUGCAGAUGCAGCUCAGAUCUGGCAUUGCUGUGGCUCUGGCGUAGGCCAGUGGCUCCAGCUCCAAUUCAACCCCUAGCCUGGGAACCUCCAUAUGCCGCGGGAACGGCCCAAGAAAAUGGCAAAAAAGACAAAAAAAUAAGUAAAUAAAAUGAAAUUUGCAUUAAAAAAUACUUAGGAAUAAACCUGACCAAGGAGGUGAAACUUAUAUCCUGAGGACUAUAAAACAUUAAUAAAGGGAACUGAAGAUGAUUCAAAGAAAUGGAAAGACAUCUUGCUCUUGAAUUGAUAGAGUUAAUAGUGUUUAAAUGACCAUACUGGGGAGUUCCCAUGGUGGCUCAUUGUUAAGGAACCUAAUAUCUAUGAUGAUGUGAGUUUGAUCCCUGGCUUCAUGCAGUGAGUUAAGGAUCUGGCGUUGCUGUGGCUGUGGCGUAGGCCGGCGGCUACAGCUCCAAUUUGACCCCCUAGCCUGGGAACUUCCAUAUGCUGUAGGUGCAGACCUAAAAAGACAAACAUAAGGACUUUACUGGGAUUUCCCACCAUGGUGCAGUGGGUUGAGAAUCUGCAGCAGCUCAGUAACUAUGGAGGUGUGGGUUCCAUCCCUACUUGGCGCAGUGGGUUAAAGCAUCAGGUUUUGUUGCAGCUAUGGCUUAGAUUCGAUCCUGGCCUGGAAACUUCCAUGUCCCACAGGUGUGACCACCCCUCCACAAAAAAGGCCAUGCCACUCAAAGCAAUCUCCAUAUUUAUUGUGAUCCCCAUCAAAUUACCCAUGACAUUUUUUAUAGAACUAGAAAAAAAAUCAUAAAAUUUAUGCAGAACCAUAAAACAAGAAUGGCCAAAGCAAUCUUUAGGAAAAAGAACAAAGCAAGUGGCAUACCCCUCUCUGAGUUAACUACAAAGCUAGAAUAGUUAAAACAGUAUGAUACUGGCACACUGGAGUUCCCAUCAAGGCGCAGUGGUUAACGAAUCCAACUAAGAACCAUGAGAUUGUGGGUUUGAUCCCUGCCCUUGCUCAGUGGGUUAAGGAUCCGGCGUUGCCAUGAACUGUGGUGUAGGUUGCAAACGCGGCUCGGAUCUGGCGUUGCUGUGGCUCUGGCGUAGGCUGGCAGCUACAGCUCCUAUUAGACCCCUAGCCUGGGAACUUCCAUAUGCUGCAGGAGCGGCCCAGGAAAUGGCAAAAAGACAAAAAAAAAGAAAAAANAA